rnacentral:rRNA from 1 species
AAAUUGAAGAGUUUGAUCAUGGCUCAGAUUGAACGCUGGCGGCAGGCCUAACACAUGCAAGUCGAACGGUAACAGGAAGCAGCUUGCUGCUUCGCUGACGAGUGGCGGACGGGUGAGUAAUGUCUGGGAAACUGCCUGAUGGAGGGGGAUAACUACUGGAAACGGUAGCUAAUACCGCAUAACGUCGCAAGACCAAAGAGGGGGACCUUCGGGCCUCUUGCCAUCGGAUGUGCCCAGAUGGGAUUAGCUAGUAGGUGGGGUAACGGCUCACCUAGGCGACGAUCCCU